rnacentral:lncRNA from 1 species
CUCCCGGCCUCCAUCCCCAGGACCCUAGACAACUUGUGAGGGAUGUCCCCGUCUGGAUGGCAUCCCUGGAAAAGGCUGCAGUGUUUCUAAAGAGGCUGUUCAGACAUCACAUCACAGUCCCAGACGGCCGAGCGGCUCCUGUGCUCACUUGGCCGCUCUCCCUGAGAAACACUUUGGAUCAGAGAGUGCUUCUAGGUUGUUUUUCCCUGAAGAAGUGGUAAGAAUUCAGCGAGCACCCCACAGCUGAAGGAAAAGUCAGUGGCUUUACUUACUGAAAGUAUCAGUAAAGAACCUCCCGGAGGAUGUGAAGCUCCAGACACUAGAUGGGCAAGAAGGCUCCAGAUGAGGGGGCCUCGGAGGCAAAGAAAGCGGAAUUUAGAAACAAAUGGUUUGGCUUCUGGAGAAGAAAGAAAGAGUUUCUUGGUGUCUCAGAGGUUUAAAAUGGCUGUGCUAGGUCAUGCCUGGCGCAUGAUGCAAAGGCAAAGGUCAACAGUGUUUUGCUGAAGAGGUCUUCCUGAGAACGCAGCAUUCCUUCCUGGCCUGCUUCACUCAGUAAACCCUCACUGAGGGCUCCUGGGAUGCAGAGGAUCGAAAGAUGAACAAGAAAUCUCAUCUUCAAACUCUCCCAGGCCAGCCAGUGAUGGUUAUACAGUGUGGACAGAGCAAGAAUAUGAGGUGGAUGGCCAGCACGCAGCGCACACACAGACACUGGAGCCUGGGGAGGCAGGAGCCUGAGCGGCGUCUUCAAGGGUGAGCCAGAGCUGGCCAGGCAGCCAAGGAGCUGGGGAAUGUAAGUCCGACCCUGGGAUUUAUAACAAACUACCACAGAAGGAGGACUCCUGGGCUCCCAGUCAGGCCUCAAACAGGCAUCACAAAACGAUAAAGCUAUUUGCUUCUGAAUCCAACCCUCCCAAGCCAGUUCCUCCUUCACCUGCCCUGGAUGGAAGGGCAGCAAUUUCCCUUCAAGAUGCUGAGGGUAUGAAAGCUUUGUUCGCAAGCUGGGGUAUGAACACCUCCUUUUUAAGAAUAAACGUUAAGACCAAGCACACACUUUUCAGAGCUGCUAACGCCCACAUUUUGUGUCUAGCUUUGGGUUUCCAAGACCCAAUGUGAAAUGCAGUGCUUUCUCUACCUUUAAAGAAGAAAAUGGGAAAGAGAGGUGGGUUUUGGGGUUCUUAUUUUGCAAACCCCCUGGAGACAAUGCAAAAACUCCUCCUCUGCAGCAGCAGGUAAACACCUGAGCUGGGAAGGAAAGCUACCUGGUAGUCCCAAUGAAUGCCAGCAAGACAAGGGCAGGGAAGAGGCGGGGCAGCUUCUCUGUCAGCUGAAGGCUUACUUUUGUUUGAACAAUGUCCCAACCUCAGGAGGGAGGGACAAAACCAAGAAUGGUGUGAUUUCCCCUGGGGGCCACUGCUAAAAUGAAGUUGGGCAUCGUGUGGGGCUGGAAGCUGUGGCUGCAGGAAGCCAGGGGUGAUGGCCUUCCUGCAGCCGUCUCUCGAGCCCCGAACUUGCGGGAAGAAAGGACUGCCCCCUUCCAACCCGUUCGGGUUGGUUUGCGCUGGAACGCCACGCUUUUCAAAGUGUCUGAGUGAUAGGUACUUUCUAAAUAUGUACAGCGAUGGCCUGAUAAGCAACUAAGCGUCUGGCUUCGCGGGUUCAUGCCCGAGGCUGUGCGGUCGGGGGAGGCUGGGGGCUCAGCCGAAACCUCAGCUCCUCCUUACAGGCCUGGUUUGGAAACGGGCUGUACACUGCUGGGGGCCCCACUUUCCAAUGUUUACUUCUGAGAUUGGAAGAAGAAGACAAGAAACACCUCCUCACCCCCUACCCUCUGCCUCCACGCCCGCGACUCAGCCCAGGUGACCCAAACGGCAGAGUCAACUUGGCGCAACCGGAGCGUCCCCAUCGCGCCGGCCACCCCCAGCCCCCUUCGCCCCUCGCUUGGCCCCACAAUGCGCCGUUGUGCCGCGCCUGCCGUCAGGCCGGGGAUUUGGAGCAGGGAUGGGGGGAAUAUUCGUCAGAUAUUUAAAACAGAGCCGAGAGAACAAAGCAGGCCUUUGUGCAGCAGGGCGGCCCGGGAGCUGGGAGCCGCCGGCCCCCAAGCACUGUGCUGGGCCAGGAGAGUGCGCAUGCGCGCGGCGACCUGUGCGCUCGGGUUCUGUGCCGGCUUUUACCCCAGCUGAAUAACCUGGUGGUCACAAGAAAGCAAAGGGAUUUUUAUGUGACAUCAUCUUGGCAAGAAGCUCCCUUACCAACCUUGACCUCCAGGUCUCCAUGGCAACUGCUGCUGGGACAUCAUUGGCACCAGAUUGUGUCCCUUAAAGGCCACACUGCAGCAAGGGCAGAUAAACAAUUUCAUGGCAACAGUCACGUAGCAAUCUCAUUCUUAAAUGUGGGCUGGUUAGUUAGGAUGAUGUAAGUGGUUUUUUCCACUCUCUUCCGCAUUCUGACUCCAGAAUUCUGGGCCUAGGACAUAGUCAAAGAAUGUACCUUGGGGUAUGAGGUAAGAAAACAGGCUGGGGUGGGACUUGAAGAAGUACCUUCUUCUAGACACAGGGACAGAUUCUUUUUCCUUUCCCAGUUGAGAGUUCAUUUUCUGUCUCGGUUCAACAAAGGCAUGUUAUCUUUAUAUAAAGGAAGCUGUAAUAGACAGUCUCCAAGAUGGCAGCCUUUAGUUCUUUCCCUCCUCAGAUUCAUGAGCUGCUUCUCACCUCUUAAAUCUGGUCUACCUAUAGUGACUUGCUUGACCAACAGAAUAUGCUAGGAGCAACAUUCUGGAACUUCCAAGGCUUGGUUGUAAGAAGCUUUGCAAUAUCUGCCUGGAUCUCUUAGAACCUUCAAUAUGGGACACUUGCUCUAGAAAUCAGCCACCAUCCUGUGAGAAGUCCAAGCCACAGAGUGAGGCCAGAAAUAGUUGCUGCAGUCAAGAGCCCCAGCUGAGCUCUCAGCCAACAUUCAGCAUCACUGCCAGCCAUGUGAGUGAGUGAUGGUGACCUUGGAUGUCCAGCUCAGUAGAACCUUCAGAUGAUUUCAGCCCUAGCCGUUCCAACUGCAAGACAUCCUGAGUGAGCUGAGCCCAGUCAACAGAGAUACGAAACCAAGAGCUAAUCAUCCUGAGUAUGAGAUGUGUUCUCUGGUGAGAUGCCUGGACCUCCACAGGGGAGGUUGUUCUCUUGAGAAAAUGCCGACUUCCCCUCGUCUUUCAGAGGCCCCCUUCCUGACCAAAAGGCUCAAGGUGCGUGUUGGAGAGGGAAGGGAAAGAAGAUGCUUGUUGCUGUUCAUUACGGACAGGUUCCCCAAGAGUGACACCGUACUGUGGACUCAGCUUCAGGAGGAGAGAGACCAUGCCUGCAGGAAUCAAAAUGAAUCAGCACCAAUCCUGACCCAAGAUGAUAUGGGUUGACUGAAUCAGUUGUUCCUCAUCAAGUAUACUGGAAGUCAGAAUGGCUCCUCCUCCAUGAUGCCCCUGUACUUAGAGCAUCUGGCGUCUGUGAAGGGUCUAAUCCCAAGUGAGGAUUCUGCUCCUGAGACAGCCAGGACCAGACGAUUGCCAAGGUCCCUCCAGCCUAAAGGCAGUGACUCUAGAACAGAUGGGGCUGGAUGGUAACAGGGUAACUGGAGCUCAGGAAUGGAGGCCAGGUUAGAGGCAUGCUUGCCCAGUCAUUCCAGGUGCCCAGGUUCCAGGCUUAUCCCUCUUUAGGAGAGAAGUAAAGACAUGAAGAGGAACCCUCUGUGGGCCUGUGCUGACCCAUCUGCCACCCCCAACCAGAGGCAUGAGUGACAUGGGAAAGGGGAGUGGCGUUGGGGCUGCUUGGCCUGCCUCCUGCACCCCAAAGCUCUGGGUUCAAUUACACUCAUUGUCACUGUGCACAGAACCCACGUCACCACUGAGGAGAUCAGCUGGGCCCUGGCUGCUGACAGCUUGUUUUAUUCUUGCUAAGCCACUACAUCUUGGCUUUGUUGUUAUGUUUCCAAUAGCAACAGGAGAAAAGACAACUUUUUCUGCUUUGGGAGCUUAUUUUUUUCUCCCGUAGGAGAAAGCUCCAGCCUGAAGACUUGAUGUCCUUGGGGCCCCAAUGUGGCCUUAGCCCAGACCCUGGGGGCCAGUAAGGAGAAGUCCAGCUUAGCUCUGCCCCAGGGAAACAGCGGGUAGCUGAAGUCAUGGAGGAUCCAGGAGCCAGGAGCUAUCAACUCUUCUGGAAUUGGGCUCAGCUGCCCUUUUUAGUUUUGAAUGGCUACAAAAUAUCCACAGUGGCUUGGGUAGGCCUAAAGCAUAGACAGUGGAGAAAGGAAAAGGAGAGAAAAAAGGAACUUAAGAGUAGAGGAGAAAGGAGUGGGAGAGAAUGGCAAGAGAAGAAAGGUGGCUGUGGAGAAGUGCAGUGACACCAUCAGCACCCUUGGGCAUCACUUGGCAUUUGAAGCCAAAGAGGAUGACCCCACAGGCCUGGAUGAAAAAUAUAGAGGUUCUCUCUGGCAAGGGGCUUUUGCUUUCCAUUGAGAAGGAGCUGCCAUCAUGAAUGGAUGGAUGGAUGCAUGGACAGGUGGGUGGAUGGAUGAAUGAAACAAUAAGCGUGGUAUUCCCAGGAUUGAAUGAAUGAUAAAGGAAGGAAAAAUAAGUGAGAAGUGAGAGAAUCCAAUGAGGGGUUAAGCCAUCUUAGGCAGGGAUUGCCAAGGAGUGGUUUGGGAGGGCCUUGCCCCGUCCCCUCCAGUCUCCAUUGGCUUCCCCUAAAGUCUUUCUAAGUAAAUAAACAUGCAAUCUAAGUGGAAAAAUAGAGUGUUUACUAUACAAAACAGCCUGAUGAAAACCCCCUGGCUCCUGUAUCAGCCAAUAUUCCAUCCAUAGGUUCUCCUUUACAGAAACUCCCGAGCUGCCACUCAUCAACUACAAGGCAUUGUGUCUGCUUUUUCCAAAUCCCAUCCCAGACCAAUUGUAUUCAGGCUGUGGACAGACAGGUGAGGACCUGAAACAUGAUUAAAGGAUAUAGGGAAAAUAAACUUUAGAUUCACUUGAGAAUAGGAAGAGUUAAAGGGCCUUAAGCCUUUCAGUCACUCCUACUUAGGGAUUUGGGGUAUUAAUUAACAAUAGCAAAUCAUUGGGUAGAUUGUCUCUGCUCUCCCUUCAGUAAAAAAUGUCAGGUAUAGGCAUUUCUUCCUAUGCCCAGUAGGAAUAGUUCACUGGGGCCAGGAUCAAGGGUUAGGGGUCAAAGGACUAUACUCUCUAAGCCUUGAACCAAUAAUGUGAGCAGCUAGUGCAGAAGUGAGCAAGGCUCUUCUUUCAUGGAAGGUUCUUAUCAGAAACCAGAGCUGUCUGGAGGGACACAGUGAGUCAGAUUACAACAGCUACCCAUGGUGGGGACAGGUCAGAAGGGGUCACGCAGAGGCUGUAGGGAAGGUUGCUAUUCUUAGGCCCCUACUAUCUCAGGCGUCUGCUGACUCACUUGGGAAUCUCUGGACUCCUGGGUAGAUCCAGUCCAAUAACCUGCCUAGUUCUUGGGUAAGCCUGUAUUGCCUUUAAUGAUAAUAAAUAACAAGAAAAUAUAGACUUUUUCUCUAAAAGAAAGAUGCAAUAUCAUGUUUAAGCCUAUGCAAGAGGAAGGGUAAGGAGGUCUGAUUCCCAGAGAAGCAUCAAUCUUACCUCAGAUCUUGGAAAGACUCCUGGAAGGAAAGGGAGAGAGAGAGAGGCUAACCCCGGGGUAGUGGCCCUGGAGGCUUUGGUACUGAGUCACAACAUGGGUAGGGGAAAGGUACAUUAUAUUUGGGGCAAGGAUCAAGUGAAAGUCUAGGAAAAACAUCAACCUUGGAGACUGAAUAGGCUUGCCACAUUAGAAGCCUCAAAAGGGGACUUAAGUGUCCCUUUGAUUAAGGAGAAGACAGAAAAGGUGCACUAUGCAGAAAAUAACCUCCUCAGGAAGGCAAGUACGUUUAAUGGGUUUUCACAGAAAGGUGGGAGACCAUUUCAUUUUCCCUUUCUUAGGACAGGGAUCUGGGGAUGUUUGCCUGAGAGGUUAUAUGUUCGUUGUGGCCUAAUGUCUUUCAGAGUAGACUGUCACCAACUCUUUGACUCCUCCUGCUCAUGGAUUCCUUCCACCAUACCUUUGGUUUCCAUUUCUAAAUGUGCUUCAGCCUGGGGGAGGCUGCAGUAAAUGACUCUGUCUAACUUGCUUCCUUGACCUUAGGACUAACCUUUUAAAACUCAUGACUUUUCCUUCUUUAUUUAAAAUCUCUAUCUUUUAACUUUUUUUUUUCUUUUUUUUUUUGAGAUGGAGUCUCACUCUGUCACCCAGGCUGGAAUGCAGUGGUGCGAUCUCACUCACUGCAAGCUCCACCUCCCAGGUUCACGCCAUUCUCCUGCCUCAGCCUCCUGAGUAGCUGGGACUACAGGCGCCUGGAUAAUUUUUUUGUAUUUUUAGUAGAGAUGGGGUUUCACCGUGUUAGCGAGGAUGGUCUCGAUCUCUGGACCUCGUGAUCCACCCACCUCAGCCUCCCAAAGUGCUGGGAUUACAGGCGUGAGCCACCACGCCCAGCCUUUUAACUUUUUAAUUUACUCAUUCUAUUGAUUUGUCUUUCUAGUUAAAAAAUAAAAAAAUAAAUCUUCUCCAGGGAGCAUGUGUCAGGAGGGAAAAGAGUCCCUUGUGUGUUAAGCCCUACUGGCUAGGGUUAAAAGCUGAGUUGCUUGUGUGAACUUGACCUUGAGCAUGAUCCCCAAAUGAUAGUUGUCUCUACGUGAGUGGUCUUUAUCUGGCCUCCUCCUCUCUUAGCACUGACCAGGCUAUAUCUGUGGCUAAGACCUAGAGGAAAAGACUUGGGUUAGCCUGUGAAGCAGAGCAGCUGAGCUAGGAAUUCUAAGAAUGGGGGACAAAAGAAAAAAAAAGGUAGGGAAGGUGGAGGGGGCACUUCUUUCCUCAGGUCUGCUGUUAUGGUACAGCCUCCUGAAUUUGAGUUUCUCAAGUAGUCAGGGCUAGGCUCAAGUUGUCAGGGCUAGGCUAAGGGCAAACUGAGGCUAGAGUCAGUAAAGUGAUCUGCCUAUGGUCUUACAAUUACUGGGCAGUAGAUGGUUUACAUUUAGAGGCAGCAUCAACAACCCUGUAGUAUCAGUUAGAAUUCUGGUGGGGAAAAAGAGGAGAAUUUAAUGAAGGGAUUAUUUAUCAAGCUAUGGACAGGAUUUAGGGGAACUAACAAAGGAAGGUGCAAUACUUUAAGCUUAAUCACAUUGAAGAGGCAUUACCCUCCCUAAAUCCAAAGGGUCAAGAGGAAGGAAUAGUUAGGAGAAUCCACAGAGAGUACCUGUAAGGAGAGGGCCUCCCAAUAGGAUGGUGACAGUGCAACUUUUGGUAGAGGGGCAAAACUAAUUCACAGUGAUUUGACAGGAAAGGAUCUAGGGGAAUAAACAUCCUUUCUGUCUUGUAGUUUCCUGUUUGUGUCUCUUUUUGCCUGAGCACAACUAGAAACUAGAGGUCAAUGGUGCCCCAUUGAUGCAAUCUAGACAGGUUGACAGGCCAAAGGGUGGCGAGUGAAUCUGGAGAGCAAAUGUAAGAUAGCCAGCCACCUGGGAACACAGAUGAGAUUUGUUUGUAGUAAUUUCCAAAAUUUUUUGCCUCUGUCUCCAUUGCCAUACCUGUUCCUGCAUGGCUUGCAGAUGCUAGAGUUUUUCUGCUGCUUCCUUAUAUCUUGGAACCCCCAGCCAGGUUAUCAGGUCUAGUUUCUGGGCCUGCCUGCUAUCAUUCAUCAUUUCUUUAUCAAAACCUGUUCUUAAGAUUUUUGCUUCUGGCCAUGACAAAGCAACAGGAUCCAGAUUUACCCUCCCCCUGUAUCCCUUGGGAUUUGAAGCCAAAGAGGAUGACCCCGCAGGCCUGGAUGAAAAAUAUAGAGGUUGGCCUGGCCAACAUGGUGAAACCCUGUCUCUACCAAAACUAGAAAACAACAAAAUAAAUGUACUGACGGCUUCAGAUAUUGUACAACACACAGUGCAGAACUAUGACCCAUGAGAUAAAGAAAAUACAUGUGGUAAAUGAUCAUGACAGUUUCUGAUUGGAGGCACAUUCUGGACUUUACAGCAGGGGAAACAAUAUCCCAAGCACAGUAUGGUAGUCUUGUUAAGUUAAAAUACAGAAAUGAAGGUCAAGGAGACUGUAGUUGGAAACUGUGGGGCAGAAUUCUAGAAAAGAGGGGACCAUGUAAAAAAAGCUCCAGAAAUCUGCACAAGUGCCCUGUUGAGUGCUUAAUACUAAGAUGUUCAUACCCAGAGUGAAGCUUUGUAAGUCUGGGCAAAGAAUGACCAGAAGCUAUAAGCUGAAAAUUUCAGAGUUCACAUGGGAUUCUGAGAUGUAAAAAUAUCAACCAGCUUGAUCAGCUGGGGCAUUUAGUAGAGAUCCAAUGAGGUUCAUAUGCAGAUAGUAAGACUGAACUAUCCCUAGAAUAAAAGAAACGUUAGGUUCAUUCUAACAAAGCUAAAAACAAGCCUCUAAAGGAAUAAUCUUAUCCAUAAGUAACUGCCUGCUGGAUAAAAACUCAAUACUCCUUAAAGGAGGAUUUAAAAAUAUACAAACAUUCAACAAUGUAACCUUUAAAAUAUCCAACAUCUAAGCAAAAAUUACUAGACUCACCAGGUAGCAGAAAAAUGUGACCCAUAUCAGGAAAAAAGGCAAUUAAUAGAAACAUGCCUGAAAAUGACAGAGUUGAAAAGACAGAAUGAACAGACAGGCACGUUAAAACAGCUGUUUAAGUAGGCAAAAUAUACUCCAGGAUUUUAAGAAAAACAUACAUAAAAUGAGGAAAGAAUGCACUUCUUGUGGUGGAAAAGACAAUAUCUGAAAUGAAAGGUCAGUGGCUGAAAUUCAAAGCAAACUAGAUGCUACAAGGAGAAAAGUAAAACUGAAAACAGCAAUAGGAACUAUCCAAAAUGAAGCACCAAGAGGAAGAAGACUUCAAAAACAAAACAAAACAAAACAAAAAACCCAGAAAUGAACAAAGUCCCAUCAAUCCUUGAGCAAUAUCAAGUGGUCUAACAUAUGUAUAAUUGAAAAAGAAAAAAGAGGGAGAACAAAUUUUUGACAAAAAUCAAGGCUGAAAAUUUUCCAAAUUUGUUAAAAACUAUAAAUACCACAGAUCCAGGAAUCACAAUGAACCCCAAUCAAAAUAAGCAAGGGAAAUCACACCAUCAUACCAAAGUACAUCAUAAUAAAUUACUAAAAUUAGUAAUAAAGAGAAAAUCUUAAAAGUAGUCUGAAAAAAGCUGUAUUUUAUAGUGUCAUAGAGAGUAUAGGAAAUACUGCAGACUUCUGAUCAAAACAAUGCAAGCCAGAAGACAAUGGAAUACUUUCUUUGAUAUACUGAAUGAUACACAAAUCAAAUUCUGUAUCCAGCGAUAUAAUGAAGACUUUUUGAGAUAAAUGAAAGCUUAGACAAUUCACCAUCAGCAGAUCUACCCUAAAGAAAUGUUAACAUAAGUUUUUUACAAAGAAGGAAAAUAAUACUUGGAUCUACACAAAAGAAUGAAGAGCACCAGAAAUGGGAAACAUGAGGAUAAAUAUUAAAAUUUUUCAUUAAAAAUUUCUUUAAAAUAUUAAAGCAAAAAUAAUAAAGUACUGUAGAGUUCAUAACAUAUGCAGAAAUAAAAUUUAUAGCAGCAAUAGCACAAAGGACAAGAGCAUGUAGCUAAAAGUCAAUGGUCUAGAUAAAAUGAAAUAACAAAAAAGAACCCUCACUUCAAAAGAAGGCAAGGAAAGAUGCAAAAGGUAACAAAGAACAGAUGGAAUGAGUAGAAAACAAAUAGUAAGAUGACAUACCUAAACCAAACAUGUAUGUUACAUGUACUUGUAAUUAAAUGCAAAUGGUCCAAAUACCCCAAUUAAAGGUCAGGCACUAUCAGACUGGAUUUAAAAAGCAAGAAAUUCAUUUUAAAUAUAAAAACACAAAUAGUUUAAAAGUAAAAGAAUGAAAAAAGAUAUGCUGUGCAAUGCUUAUCACAAGAGAGCUGGAGUAGCUAUAUUAAUAAUAAAAAAAGAAGACUUUAGGACAAGGAAUAGCACCAGAGAUAAAGAGAGACAAUUUCAUAGUGACAAAAAGGAAAAUUUAAGCCAGGUGCAGUGGCUCACGCCUGUAAUCCCAGCACUUUGGGAGGCUGAGGCAGGCAGAUCAUGAGGUCAGGACAUCGAGACCAUCCUGGCUAACACAGUGAAACCCCAUCUCUAAUAAAAAUACAAAAAAUUAGCUGGGCGUUGUGGUGGACGCCUGUAGUCCCAGCUACUCGGGAGGCUGAAGCAGGAGAAUGGUGUGAACCCGGGAGGCAGAGCUUGCAGUGAGCAGAUAUCACGCCACUGCACUCCAGCCUGGGCGACAGAGCGAGACUCCGUCUCAAAAAAAAAAAAGAAAAAUUUAAGAAGAUUUAACAAUUCUAAAUGUUUCUGUACCUGCUAACAGAACUUCAUAAUAUAUGAAUCAAAAACUGACAAAAGUUAAAGAGGAAAUAGACAAAACCACAGUCAUAGUUUGAAUAUAUACAUUUCAUCAUUCCUCUCUCAAGAAUUAAUAAAACAAAUAGUCAGAAAAAUCAGUAAACCAGUAAGGAUACAGAUGAUCCCAGCACUUUGGGAGGCCAAGGCGGGUGGAUCACAAGGUCAAGAGAUCGAGACCAUCUUGGCCAACAUGGUGAAAUCCCAUCUCUACCAAAAAUACAAAAAUUAGCUGGGCCUGGUGGCAUGCAGCUGUAGUCCCAGCUACUUGGGAGGCUGAGGCAGGAGAAUCGCUUGAACCCAGGAGGCGGAGGUUGCAGUGAGCUGAGAUCAUGCCAGUGCACUCCAAGAAAGCUAGGUCAAUUGCUCAUAUGACUAGCAUUUCUACUCCUAGGUAUGUACCCAAGAGUAUUGAAAAUCCAUGUCCACACACACUGUAUAUGAAUGUUCAUAGCAGCAUUAUUCAUUUUAGCCAGAAAGUGGAAACAACUCAAAUGUGCAUCAACUGAUGAACAGAUAAACAAAAUGUGGUUUAUCCAUACCAUGGAAUAUUAUUCAGCUAUGAAAACAAAUGACAUUCCAAUACAUGCUACAACAUGGAUGAACCUUGAAAACACUAUGCUCACUGAAAGAAGCCAAACACAAAAGGUCACAUAUUGUAUAAUUCCAUUUAUAUGAAAUGUCCAGAAUAAGCAAAUCCAUAGAGAUGGAUAGUAGAAUAGUGGUUGCCAGAGGAAAGGGGAAGGAGGAAUGGGGAGUGACUGCCAAUGCAUAUGGAGACUCUUUUGGGGGUGAUGAAAAUAUUCGGAACUAGAUAAUGGUGAUAAUUGCACAAUUUUGUGAAUAUACUAAAAAUCAUGGAAUUGUACACUUUAAGAGGGUGAAUUUUAUGGUAUGUCAAUUAUAUCUCAAUUAAAAAAAUAAGUAUUUGGUAUAAAUGAUUUUAUGCCCCAGUGUUGAUAAUGGAUAAAGGCUUAAUGAGAGACUCUUCUCAGCAAUAUGGUUCAACUCAGACCAACUCCUCCCUACAAAGGCUACAGAAUCUAUUUUUUCAAAAAGUCCAGCUCUUAGGACCUUUGUUCUUAGCUGUGGUUGCUACCAGGCUGCCUCUGAGGCCUGAAAAAUCGUGUCAUAGGCAGUAGAGGUUGAAUUUUGUAUUUUAGUAUCUAUGCUUACUUUCCUGCAGUAUGAGUUCUUUAAAGUCUAUUGCUAACUUGCACUCAUAGGCUGAAUUGAAAGAAUAAAGGAUCACAGUGAGGCACUUUACAGUUUAUAAAAAAGCAUGUUCACAUUCACCACUCUUUUGAUUUUACGCAUUUAGAUUUAAAUUGGGCGUUCUGAAUGGCCACACAACAGCAGGCCCUAAACUCUAGCCCCAACCUCUCUGACUCCAAAAAUCGAGUCAUUCUUAAAACAACUAAAAUGUGCUUCUGAGCAAGUUAUGGAGAAAUGGGCUGCCACUCGCCCUCCCAAGAAUAUUAUGAAGGCUCUUAGCCAUUUAAGGAACAACUUCUGGCCAGGCAGGGUGGCUCACGCCUGUAAUCCCAGCACUUUGGGAGGUCAAGGCGGGUGGAUCACAAAGUCAGGAGAUCGAGACCAUCCUGGCUAACACGGUGAAACCCCAUCUCUACUAAAAAUACAAAAAAACUAGCCGGGUGUGGUGGUGGGCUCCUGUAGUCCCAGCUACUCAGGAAGCUGAGGCAGGAGAAUGGCAUGAACCUGGGAGGCAGAACUUGCAGUGAGCUGAGAUCGUGCCACUGCACUCCAGCCUGGGUGACAGAGUGAGACUCCAUCUCAAAAAAAAAAAAAGAAAAAAAGAACAACUUCCACUAACAAUCUUUUUUUUUUUGAGACAGAGUUUUGCUAUUGUUGCCCAGGCUGGAGUGCAAUGGUGUGAUCUUGGCUCACUGCAACCUCCACCUCCUGGGUUCAAGCAAUUCUCCUGUCUCAGCCUCCCAAGUAGCUGGGAUUACAGGCGUGAGUCACCAUGCCUGGCUAAUUGUUUUGUAUUAUUAGUAUAGACAGGGUUUCACCAUGUUGGGCAGGCUGGUCUUGAACUCCUGACCUCAGGUGAUCUGCCCACCUUGGCCUCCCAAAGUGCUGGGAUUACAGGCGUGAGCCACCACGCCUGGCCUCCACUAACAAUCUUAUAUUGGUCUGCAUUAUGCAGAAUGACCUGGACUAUUAGUCAUGGGGCAGGCCCAGAUGUUAAAUAGCUUGGUCCAGUAUGCUCACCUCAUUAACCAUGUGGUUUGUGGGUCCAUUUUCACUCCUGCAGGGACACACACACACAAACACACCUCUCUUUACAGCAAGAUAAAGAGUCACCUAUCUUUUCCCAGCAGUGCUCUGACCAGGGCUGAGUUCCCACUUGCAUUUCCUUCCUCCCUCUCUCCCUCCCCCUUCCUCCCUUCCCCUCUCCCUCCUUCCUUCCCUCCCUUCCUUCCUUCUUUCCUUUUUUCCUUCCUUUUUAUGGUCAAAUAUACGUAACAUAAAAUUUAUCACUGUAACCAUUUUUAACUGUACUGUUUAGGGGUGUUAAGUACAUUCUCACUGAUGUCCAGCCAUCACCAUUAUCUAUCUCCACAACUUCUUCAUCUUGAAAAACAGAAACUUUGUAUCCAUAAAACAUUAACUCCCCGUUCCCCUCUCUCCACCCCAACCUCUGGUAAUCACCACUCUACUUUCUGUCUCUGUGAAUUUGACUCCUCUAGGUACCUCAUGUAAGUGGAAUCACACAAUAUUUGUCCUUUGGCCACUUGUAUUCCUUGAUGGCAAAGAGUCAUCUUGUUCCAGAGCUGGCCCAUAGGACCAGGUGUUUCAUGUGGUAGCCGGGAAGGAUAGCAAGAGGAAGGAUAGCAGAUUCUGGAGUGCAAACACAUCCCCAGACAGAAUCAGGAGGGCUCCCCUCAUCCUGUCGACAGCUGGAAAUUCUUUCUGCUCUUCUACAAGUUGAGUGUUACAAACAGGAGACUUUUCAAGCCCAGUCCCAAACACAGGAAUUCGUCCCUCGUCAGUCUGUCUCCUGGGCCCCAUUGAGACAGCUGGACUUCCCACGCAAGUGAAAGCAUUCAACUGGGAGUGCCUUUUCCUGGGUCAGCCUGUUCCAGCUUACCCUUGAAGGAGACCAUCAGCUCCUUAAGAGCAACAGCUAUUUUUCUGUCCCAAGUUGUGUAGAAUGCAGUGUAGAGCACUUUUAAAAUGUCCAUUUUGGCUAUUAGCAGCAAUCAAUGCAAUCUAUACCAGCUCAGGUUGGCAUGAUAAUUUUAUUUACUUAGCCAGUCCUUUGAAAUUCACAGCAAGGAUAUGAGCCUUAUGCAUGAUCCUCCCACUGGUUUUCGUACAGGUGAAUGAACCGAUUCCUUAUUGCUGAAAAAAAAAAAUCUUACACUGGACUUGGAGUCAGGCCACAGCUAGACUGGAAGCAAGGAGACUGGAAAGCAAACGUGGACCUGACAGGCUCUGUCAUGUCCCAGGCCUAAUCUGGUGGGAGUCCUGAGAACAGCCUGUGCUGUGUGUGCCCAGGUGCAAAGAAUAUGUAAACCUUUCUCAAGUGAAAAAGCUUAGCUUUUUCCAAAUUCCCAUUUGAGACUGCCUGUGCGACUGCACAGUGUGCACACUCAUGCAGAUAGGUGGAGUCCUAUUCAACUUCUACAAAACACACUAAUUUGUUGAUUUGUUUUAUUUCUAUAUGGUACCUUUCCUCCUAG